AUAGACUGGAGAAAAAGUGUAAUGACCUUAUAUAGAUAUCUAGGUCUAAACUGCGAUUAACCAAUCAGGCCUCGUGUUUUAUACGAGAUGCUCAGCCAGGAAAUCCCCGCGAGAAACGAUAUCAAGCUUUUGAUUGAUGCAGACCAGCUCCUGUUGUUGCGGAUGUAAACACGAAAUUUACAAUCUGGCACUGGCAGGAUCGAAAAGGUCAGCGAUGCAGGGGAUGACAGCAGAAAGAUCUUCACCCUGGGUUUUGGUGAAAAAGGGCACAAGUAACUGGAUAUCAACCACCGACAGACUGAUCAUUGAUCAAUGUGGACCCCUUACACUGAGUGAACCGAGCUAGGGCCCAAUACAGGCUGAGGACAUUAAAGGUGUAGCAUCGGUGACUUCAUAGUUGUAUGAAGGUUGGUAAUAUGCAUCGGAAGUCAGAACACCACCACAUCCUUUGAUCAAAAUACCCUGUGGAUUAUGAAAAAUUCGUGUGAAGGCAUUCUAUGGCCAAACUUCAAUCAUCACUAAACAGAGAUUGAGUGCAAAAGAAAUACAUUGAUCAGCAAGAAAUGUUUUAGCUGAGAAGAGGAUUAUAUCAGUUCUUGUAUAAUGUAUGGUGUGAAUUAGAACUGCUUCUGAGAUUAUAAAUGUACUUGUGUUUUGCAGGUUAUAAGACUGGGUAAUUGCAAUAGCCUAGAAAAAUACAUUACAUAUUGUCUUUUUUAUACAGCUGUCAUAUAUAUUGUUCCAAAGUGGUGAUACCAGGUGUAUAAUUUAAAAAAUUAUAGAUGUUAAGACAAUAUUAUUGUUUGAUGAAUGUAGAUUUUUCCUGGCAAUAGAUGUUUUAUAUAGAUAAUCCAGCUAGUCCACCAUUAUCUGGUGCUGUGCUGUACAAGUCCCCCUUUAUCUGUAUACAUUAAUUGUUCUUCAACAGGUGUUGUUAUUCCUUGAUACAUCUUAAACAUUUUAAUAUUUUGUCCAGUGAAAUUAUGGUUUAACUGGGACAUAUUAAUUGCAACACAUUUUUUUUUAACUUUCCAAUCAUGAGUUCUUUCAAAGCAAAAGAAUGUACCUUUUGGAAUGUUUUUACGUCACCUAAGACAAAUUCUUAAGUCUGGAUGACCCCCAGUGGCUGAUGGGUGGGGCUAAAAAUUGUCAGAUUAACUGAAAUUUCAAAAAUCAUUUUAUCAAAACCCAAAUAAGGUAGAAUCAAGUACUGUUUCUAGAUAAAAGGGUCUUAAGAUGGUUUACCAAAGUGUGAAUUUCAUGACCCUGGGGUCUAAUAUUUGCACCUGGGGGAGAAGGCAACUUUGCUAUAGUUUAUGUAAGUAAAUCUCAUUUUGACUAUUGUUUGUUGGAUUUCUUCUUGAAAUUCUUUCUAACUUUGUUAUAAUUAGCAGUUUUUGAAAGCAGUUUGAUGGUACGCAAAUGUUGGCCCAACUGACUACCAGGGGCUGAUUAGAAAAGUCAAAAAAGGGUGAAAGUCACAGAAAUAUUUCAAAACUAUAAAAGUGACUUUUAAGGCCUGUGGGUCUCUUGUUUGUUGGAAAAUGGAAGUGAAAUAUUUAAUUGUAAGAUCAUUUUUGUGUCGCUUACGUCGGAUGUCAGAAAGGCAGCACAUAGGUGAACAACUGUAAAACAAAUUAUUCCAGCUGAUACUUAUCACUCUUGUUGGCCUUGGGCAAUGGUGGCGUGUCAAAGUAUAAAAGCUACUAGGUAGGUAUAGGUACUAGAGCAUACUGAGCUAUAAGCAUAAAAAGAAAAAAAGCAGAAAAAUUAUGAUAAUGUAAUUUUUGGAAAUGGGAGUUUAUAACAUAGCAGAAAAUGUGAGGAAAAACGUGUCCAUGUGAUGUCCUUUUUUUGGAGCUAAUGUCGAUCAGAGAUACUAAUGUUAAUUUGUGAUAUAUCUUAAUUUCAUUGUUUUACCAAAUCAAGGUGAUGACUUCCACUAAUUUCUUUCAAAUGUAUAUGAAUGUUUGCAAAUUAACACAAUUUUAUGUUUUCUUAGUUAUUCUUAUAAGCAUACUGUAUUAAUGUUACUGUGAAUAGCACUUUAGUUAACAUAAACACUGUAAUUUAUACACUCCCAUUUUUCUAUUUCAGAUUUAAUGCUGUAUAUUCAACUAUGAACUUAUUAAGUUAUUGACAAUCAACAGAAAAAAUGUUGCUCUUUCUAAAUAUCAACAUGAAAAUGGUUGUGGGGUCUGGUCUUUAUUUUUUGUCCAUUAUGAUAUUUAUUUUUCGCUUUUUUCAGGAAAAAUUCAAAGUGCUACACUUAGCUCUAAAAUGUGAAAAUAAACUGCUAAAAGUGUGUAAUUUCACAAUUUGUUGCUCAAUACCUAGUUACUUGAAAUUUAAUUGUAUUGAACAUUACAAUUCUGUACAACAAAGAUGAACUAGAUACAGUUAAAAAUGCAAACGUAAUGAUGAUUGGAGUGAAAAUUAUUUUAGUAAAAAAAGGAAAGAAAUUAAGCAUUUUCAAAAUGACCCUCAAAUAGGUCAUCAUUUAAAUUCUUUUAAAAAGUUCUACAAACAUUGGAAGUAUAAAUUUUAGACACAUAUUUCAGAUGUACUAAGCUUGCUAUAAAUAUAAAUCUGAGAGUAGUGCAUUCUUAAUUUUGGGAUGAAUCCAUCAAAACAUGACAUAUACAUGUAGAAUAUUACACCCCUUUAGGAUGUUGAUACAGGAGACGGGGGAAUCUCAGUCCAAGGGUUUAGAUGUACUUUUGUCUCACUCCAAAGUGGCUAAAGGAGUUUUCUCUGUACUUUGUUUUCAAUUCAAAUUGGUCUUGUAAAGCAAUGAAAUUAUUUCCUUGACACCAGUUUUUUUGUUAUUGUGCAAGUACUCACUAUUUAAAAAAACACACAUUUUGUUGUGCUUUUGUCCCAAUGUGACCUGUAUAACUUUGAUAAUAUUUGUGUUUUCACAGAAAAGAAGAAAGAAUCAGUAAGCCCUGUAAUCUAAUUGUCUUUUUAAUAAAAACUACUUGCAUCAA